UAGGGAAUCUUCCGCAAUGGACGAAAGUCUGACGGAGCAACGCCGCGUGAGUGAAGAAGGAUUUCGGUUCGUAAAACUCUGUUGUUAGGGAUGAAAAAAUGUAUAGUAACUAUAUACAAAAGAGACGGUACCUAACCAGAAAGCCACGGCUAACUACGUGCCAGCAGCCGCGGUAAUACGUAGGUGGCAAGCGUUGUCCGGAAUUAUUGGGCGUAAAGCGCGCGCAGGUGGUUUAGAAAGUCUGAUGUGAAAGCCCACGGCUCAACCGUGGAGGGUCAUUUGAAACUAAUAAACUUGAGUGCAGGAGAGAAAAGUGGAAUUCCUAGUGUAGCGGUGAAAUGCGUAGAGAUUAGGAGGAACACCGGUGGCGAAAGCGGCUUUUUGGCCUGCAACUGACACUGAGGCGCGAAAGCGUGGGGAGCAAACAGG
rnacentral:rRNA from 1 species